AGCAGCCUGGGUGCCCACCCGUGCCAGGAUGGGGCUGACCCAUCGAGGAGAUGAGCCGUGUGUGGCACCCGUGCCCGGAGCCGCGUGGCACAGAGGGGGGCUCGGGCACCAUGUCCCCCUCCCCAGCACGGUACCGGGUGCCGGGCCCGGUGAGGUACCCCCCCCCCCCCCCACCCCGUUACCCCGCACCGAGCUGCGGGUGCCCCCCGCGGGUGCGGGCUGCGUGGGCGCGGGCGCGGGCGGCGCGUGCCGAUCCCGGGGGGCUGCGGGUGCUGCCGCUGCCGCAGCGCGGGGAGGGGAGGGGGCCCGGCCACCCCCUCACACGGUGCCUUCGCGGGCGGGAGGAACGGGGAACGGCAGCGGGAAGGAGCCCGGGAACCUGUUGCCAUAACGACUCGGGUCCCGCACCGGGAUGGGGAUGCUCAGAACCCGGCUUGGGGACCCCCGGCAGGGGGGCAACCUGGGUGUGGGGUGACCAAGGGACCCCUUGCCCCCAUUCCAGUCCCCUCUGUGGGGACGAGGGCUCUGCCGGUGGCCCUCCCUGGGCUGUCCCCACCGCUGGCGCGGCCACGAGGGGCUGCCCUGGGCCACAGGGCCGCGCUUGCCCAUCCAGAGCCCGGCGUUGCCACGCUGUGCCAUGCUUUACCGUGCUUUGCCACGCUGUGCCAUGCUUUGCCGUGCUUUGCCGUGCUUUGCCGCGCGGGGCCGGGCGGGCGGGAGGCUGGUCCAUGGCACGGUGCCACUCGGGUAAAUAUUUUGCUGGAGCGGUGGCUGCUGGCCCGCGGCCACCCCGCAGCCGUUGGAGCACCGGGAGAUCCGGGGGCCGGAGCCAGUUCCCGGCUCCCCCUUCCUCGUUCCUCCUCGGAGGCGGUUUCCUCAGCGCCAACGCCACCGCCCCGGCCCUGUCCCCCCGGCCAGGACACCCCGAGAGGGGACGGGGGCCGCUGCUCCGGCUACCAGUGGCCCCGUUGUCCCUCUACACAGGGAUCCCCCCACCCCGGUUGUCCCCCUCCGGAGAGGUGCCCGGGUCCCUCCGGUGCCCGGGUGGGAGGUUGUGCCCGGGGUUGGGGGGAGCUGAUCCCCCGCUUCCCCAGGGGAAAACUUUUGGAUUUGGUGGAAUUUUCCACCGGGAAAUCCACCGAGAGCCGGGGCAGAGCCAGGGCAGCCGGGCAGAGUCCCCAGCGAGGGCACAGCCCCCCGUCUCUGGCACACCCUGGUGUCCCCGGGGCUGCGGCUGGUGGCCGCGUGGUAGCCCUGGCACAGGGGGGGAUGGGAUGUUUCAGGGUCCCUUGUCCCCAUCGAUGUCCCCUGGCCGCGUUUCCCUGGAUGCCACCCCUGCAGGAGCGGUGUCCCCGUCCCCUGGGGUGGCAGUGGGGUAUCUGUGGGGCAUGGAGCAGCCGGGGGGGAUUUCCCUGCUGCCCCUCCGAGGGUCAGAGUGCCCCUGUCCCUGUCCCUGCUGUGGGGAAACUGAGGCACGAGGGGUAGGGACUCACGUGGAGGCACUCCUUCCCAUUCCUGUCCUGUCCCAGCUGCCACUGUGAUCAGGGGACAUCCCCCCCCUCCCCCCGCCUCCAUGCCCAGCAAGGAAGGGGUUAAGAGCCCCCCACGGGUUGGCUGAACCCCCUCAGGGGCUCCCCAAGGACUCAUUACCGAGGCCUCAGCCCCCCUGCCCGGGGAGGUGGAGGUAGGGGAAGGGGGGGGGGGGGGGGAUGAAUAAUUCAGCGCCUGGUAGGAGACGUGUCCUCCCUCCCUCUCCUUCCUCCUCCUCCUCCUCCUCCUCACCGGCUCUGCCUUCCCCACCUCCCGCCGCUCUCAGUCCUCGCCGUACCGAGCCCCGGGUGCUACCCAACUCCGCUCGGCACCGGCGGCAGAGACAACCCCCCCCCCUUUCUCCCCUAACCCCCCCUCCCUUCCCCAUUCCCCCCGAAACCCCGGAUUCCGGCAGCGGUGGUGACCCCCCCCCGGUCAAGGCCAUGGACCCCAAGGACCGCAAGAAGAUCCAGUUCUCCGUGCCGGCCCCCCCCAGCCAGCUGGACCCCCGCGCCGUGGAGAUGGUGAGGGUGGACAUCGGGGUACAGGGUCACACCGGGGGUCCCUUG
rnacentral:lncRNA from 1 species